rnacentral:rRNA from 1 species
GUGGGGAAUAUUGGACAAUGGGGGGAACCCUGAUCCAGCCAUGCCGCGUGUGUGAAGAAGGCCUUUUGGUUGUAAAGCACUUUAAGCGAGGAGGAGGCUACCGAGAUUAAUACUCUUGGAUAGUGGACGUUACUCGCAGAAUAAGCACCGGCUAACUCUGUGCCAGCAGCCGCGGUAAUACAGAGGGUGCAAGCGUUAAUCGGAUUUACUGGGCGUAAAGCGCGCGUAGGUGGCCAAUUAAGUCAAAUGUGAAAUCCCCGAGCUUAACUUGGGAAUUGUAUUCGAUACUGGUUGGCUGGAGUAUGGGGGAGGAUGGUAGAAUUCCAGGUGUAGCGGUGAAAUGCGUAGAGAUCUGGAGGAAUACCGAUGGCGAAGGCAGCCAUCUGGCCUAAUACUGACACUGAGGUGCGAAAGCAUGGGGAGCAAACAGGAUUAGAAACCCGAGUAGUCC